AUUGAACGCUGGCGGCAUGCCUUACACAUGCAAGUCGAACGGUAACAGGUCUUUCGGGCUGCUGACGAGUGGCGAACGGGUGAGUAAUACAUCGGAACGUGCCUAGUAGUGGGGGAUAACUACUCGAAAGAGUGGCUAAUACCGCAUGAGAUCUAUGGAUGAAAGCAGGGGACCUUUGGGCCUUGUGCUACUAGAGCGGCCGAUGGCAGAUUAGGUAGUUGGUGGGAUAAAAGCUUACCAAGCCUACGAUCUGUAGCUGGUCUGAGAGGACGAUCAGCCACACUGGGACUGAGACACGGCCCAGACUCCUACGGGAGGCAGCAGUGGGGAAUUUUGGACAAUGGGCGCAAGCCUGAUCCAGCAAUGCCGCGUGCAGGAUGAAGGCCUUCGGGUUGUAAACUGCUUUUGUACGGAACGAAAAGUCUUGGGUUAAUACCCUGGGAUCAUGACGGUACCGUAAGAAUAAGCAACGGCUAACUACGUG
rnacentral:rRNA from 1 species